rnacentral:other from 1 species
GUCGCACAACGAAGUGAACAUCAGGAUGAUGACACUUCAGCAGGACACACCAGGACGGUGUUACAGGGAAAGGCUUCAGGAUGAAGUGAAGAGGAUAACGCGGGAAUGCGUUAAAGGACACCUCCAGGAAGGAGAACGAGAGCCGGUCAGGAUAGUCGGUGGGUCAGGAUGGCCAGGAUGCUUCAGGAUGAAGUAAUCACAUCGGGGUGGUGUGAGCAGGAUGCAAAAUGUUCAGGAUGAACAACAGGUCGCAAGACCAGAGGAAAAGUUGUCACGGAUGAGCAGGGAGCACAAAAAGUAGCUGGAAUGCUGCGAAACGAACCGGGAGCACUGUUUUUACAGUGCUCCCUUUUUUU